CCCGACCGACGAUCGGAGAGGAUUUUUCUCGUAAGAGACCAGGAGACAGGUGCUGCAUGGCUGUCGUCAGCUCGUGUCGUGAGAUGUUCGGUUAAGUCCGGCAACGAGCGCAACCCACGUCCCUAGUUGCCAGCAUUCAGUUGGGCACUCUAUGGAAACUGCCGAUGAUAAGUCGGAGGAAGGUGUGGAUGACGUCAAGUCCUCAUGGCCCUUACGGGUUGGGCUACACACGUGCUACAAUGGUGGUGACAGUGGGUUAAUCCCAAAAAACCAUCUCAGUUCGGAUUGUCCUCUGCAACUCGAGGGCAUGAAGUUGGAAUCGCUAGUAAUCGCGGAACAGCAUGCCGCGGUGAAUACGUUCCCGGGCCUUGUACACACCGA
rnacentral:rRNA from 1 species